AUUGAACGCUGGCGGCAUGCCUUACACAUGCCAGUCGAACGGCAGCAUGAUCUAGCUUGCUAGAUUGAUGGCGAGUGGCGAACGGGUGAGUAAUACAUCGGAACGUGCCCUGUAGUGGGGGAUAACUAGUCGAAAGAUUAGCUAAUACCGCAUACGACCUGAGGGUGAAAGUGGGGGACCGCAAGGCCUCAUGCUAUAGGAGCGGCCGAUGUCUGAUUAGCUAGUUGGUGAGGUAAAGGCUCACCAAGGCGACGAUCAGUAGCUGGUCUGAGAGGACGAUCAGCCACACUGGGACUGAGACACGGCCCAGACUCCUAAGGGAGGCAGCAGUGGGGAAUUUUGGACAAUGGGCGAAAGCCUGAUCCAGCAAUGCCGCGUGUGUGAAGAAGGCCUUCGGGUUGUAAAGCACUUUUGUCCGGAAAGAAAUGGCUCUGGUUAAUACCUGGGGUCGAUGACGGUACCGGAAGAAUAAGGACCGGCUAACUACGUG
rnacentral:rRNA from 1 species